CUGACCUGACCGAUUUCCAGAUGAUGGUUUCACUGCCGAACCUUCUCUGUGUUGAGCAAUGCUGCGAAGGGACUGGAUGUCUUCCUAAGGUUCUGCAGUUGUUCCUUUGAUGAUAGUCAGGAUCUAUCUGUGGUGUCUAUCCACUCUGUAUUCUCUGGUGUAGUACGAUGCAAUCCUUCUGUAAAACAGGAAAAGGAAACAUGAUUUACUCCAACUGCGUCUCCUCCUUUGCUGAAGGGGCUGACUCCUCAGUUAGAGACUGUUCCACAGUGAGUGCCAGUCUGCUGUUCCCCUGUGUGGGGGACCAGAUGCAAGUCCUUUCUUUUUCCUGGUUUGACUGUCACACCCUCUGUUUCCAGCAGGGACACUGGAUAGUGACCAGGAGCAGACAAUGUGGCUACUUUCUUUCCUCCACCCAGCCCCCAUCUUCCCAGGCACCUGAAGUCAAUGGAAGAGACAGUCAGGCAGACUAUAAAAUUUGCUAUCAAUUCAAGUCUCUACAGGAAGUGAACCAGUUGUGGAAGAGGAAGAGGAGAGAAUGGGCAGAGUGGGUGAGCUCUCUGAUUGACGUCUCUCACAGCCAAUCCAAAUAUUUUUGGAGUAACAUGAGUUCCCGGAAGCUUGGAAAACUGACUGGUGAAAUGGAGGCGACUUUGAGCAGCAGAUCAGAAGGAUUGCACUGUAUUACACCAGAGAAUACAGAGAGAAUUGACACUACAGGUAGUAAGGAUUGCACCGUACCACACCAGAGAAUACAGAGAGGAUAAACCGCAUUCUUUACAGCAUUACCCAACUUAGAGAUGGUUGGACUGUGAAACCAUCAUCUGCAAAUCAGUCAGUCAGGGGAGCUUUGACAUAUCAUCAGAUCUGAAACUGGAAGCUGGAACCAACCACAGAAAUGAACACGCCCCAGAUGGGAAUAAUGAGAGUGAAGGAUUGCACUGUACUACACCAGAGAAUACAGAGAGGAUAGACACCGCAGAUAGAUCCUGACCAUUACCCAAGGAACAACUGAACAACUGUGAGAAGACAUCCAGUCCCUUUACAGCAUUGUUCAACACAGAGAAGGUUGGUCAGUGAAACCAUCACCUGAAAAUCGGUUGGAUCAGGGAGCUUUGACAUAUCAUCAGACCUGAAACUGGUCAGUGGUGUGGAACCUUCCAUCAGAACCAACCUUUCUGAAGGUUCGGCUGUGGGUUAUCGAUCAGGGUGAGGCUGGGAAGAAGUGUGAGUGGCUCCAAGUGUGGUGAGAGCUUCAAUCAUUCAUUUAGCCUCAUGAACCACUGACUCAUUCCUACAGGUGAGAGGCUGUUCAAGUGUGAGGAGGGCUGCACAGGUUCCUAGGAUCUCCUAAUACUAAAGGUACUUCUGUUGUACCACCUGUAUCAGAAGAGUAGCCACAUGGAAGGGAAGUCAUUCAAGUGUGAUGUGCGUGACCGAACCUUUGCACAGUCUUCAACGCUCGUGCAACACCAACGCUUUCACACUGGGGAGAAACCGUUCACGUGCGAGGUGUGUGACAAAUCUUUCUCGCGCUCAUCUCACUUUCAUGUACACCAACGCAUUCACACUGGGGAGAAACCGUUUACAUGCAAGGCAUGCGAAAAAUCAUUCUCAGACUUAUCAACACUCCGCAGACACCAACUGAUUCACACAGGUGAGAAACCAUUCACAUGUGAGGUGUGUGACAGAUCAUUCUCACGGUCUUCAAUCCUCCGCUCACAUCAACACAUUCACACAGGCGUGAAAAUGUUCACGUGUGAGGUCUGUGCUAAAGCCUUCACAGUGUCAUCGAACCUCCUACGCCAUCAGACAGUCCACACGGGGGCGAAACCUUUCAAGUGUGACAUUUGCGACAAAGCUUUUGUGACGUCUUGGAACCUCCUUAAACACCAGAUGAUUCACACAGGAGACAAACCAUUCAAGUGUGAGGUGUGCAAAAAAGCAUUCUCACUGUCAUCAACACUUGUGCAACACCGACGCAUUCAUACUGGAGAGAAGCCAUUCAUGUGUGAGGUGUGUAACAAAUCAUUCUCGCACUCAUCGACCCUCCGUGUACAUCGCCGCAUUCACACAGGGGAGAAACCAUUCAAGUGCGACGUGUGCCACAAAUCAUUCUCGGACUCAUCUAACCUCCGCGGACACCAACGUUUUCACACAGGAGAGAAACCAUUUCAGUGUGAGAUUUGUGACAAGGCUUUCACCCGUUCCUCCGAUCUUGUGAAGCACCAGAGGAUCCACACUGGGGAGAGACCAUUCAAAUGUGAUGUGUGUGACAAAUCAUUCUCAGAAUCAUGGUACCUCCGGAUACAUCAACGUGUUCACAUGAGAGAAACCAUUCAGGUGUGAAGUUUGUGAUGAAGACAUCAUCAACUCAUCAAAUCUGUUGCUCCUUCAGAGGAUCCACACAGGGGAGUAAGAGGGAGAUUUGCAAUGAAGUUUUUCUUAAGUCUUUGCUCCUGGGCCACCAGAGGAUUCACAUGGUGGGAGGGAGGCCUGUGGAAAUCCAUUCAGGUGCGAUAUUUAUAAGACAACUUUUACCCAGCCCCACUAAAUCGUAAAGCACUAGCAGACCCAUACUGGUGAGAAACCAUUCAGGUGUGAGGUGUGUGACAAGGCUUUCACAGUCAGUGUAUCUCCUCGUUCAUCAACACACUUACAUGGGGGGAGAAACCCUAUCGGUGUGAGUUCUGUAAUGAAGCCUUCAUACAAUUGUCAACCACUGGAACAUCAAAGAACUCACACGGGAGACAAACCCUUCCAGUGUGAUGUGUGACAGGAUUGUUUCACCUACUCCUCCUCUCUCACCAUACACCAAUGUCUCCACACGGACUUGGAGCCGGGUCACCUGCUUCCGUUACACUGAGACAUGUCUAUAUUGUUUACCGUCCAGUGCUCACACAGGGGAGCUGUCGUUCCAAAGCACUGCCUCUCUCAGCAGUGUCUGUCUCAAACCUCUCCCACCAUCAGGCCAAUCAUUUUAAGAAGGUCAAUUUAACCUUUGACCAGAUCACCAAACAUCACCAGAAGAAGACAUCAAUAUGCAUAGAAACUCCUGUAUAAAUUCAGCAUCCUUACAGUGCAGUGCCAGGUACAAGUCACUCACUGAUUCUCACUCUGACCAAGAAGUCAAUCAGAUACUCAGUGGUUAAAAAGACUCCUGCUUCUAAUCUACCAGCACAAGCACGCAGAGAGGAGCCAUUCCUGGGGUAGUAAUGGAGGGACUUCAGUUAGCCUCAGCAUCUCUGGUCUAUGGAGGGGAAGAAUCAGCCAGGAAUCCCAUUCCUCAUCAGUGACCCCAGCUGGGAAGUUAGGGGGAGGGCAGGAUGUGUCUCGGCUGUGACAGUCUCCAUUGUCUCACAACAUUCACUGUCUGGGUCUACACAUGCUGAAUGGCCAUUCGAACAGAGCACUAGAGGCCAAUCAAUGUCCACAGUCUGUACUCCAGUUCACAUGAAGCAUAAUGUUUCCCGAAGAAAAAAGGAAAGAUUUGCCUUUAAAUAUCAACUUUCACAAAUACAGGGCAUCUGAAAAAGACUUUACAGACAAUGAAAUGCUUUUUGAAAUGUAGUCACUGUUGUGGAGUAUUUUAAAGCAAUACUCAACACAGGGUCUUUCGUUCAAACGUAAAGCAGCCUUUAUUUUAACACUGGUGGGGAAGCGAUCUCUACUAGUAAACCAGCAAAACUUCUCCAACAAUACAGAGUUUCAAGCAGUUUAUAAACUAUUCUAAUUGUGUUACAAUCACAGCACUGCCUACAGCAGAACUGAUACCAUUAAGAAGGACUGGAAUUUAGGACAUCACAACAAUGACACAGGAUAACCCCCAUUGUGAAUCUAAUUAAGAAAUGAAGGAGGCAAUUGUCACAACCAAAUGGCCCCAACCAACACCAUUCACCCCUGUCACGGAAAGAGAGAAAUCCUCCACACAAAGAUCAGCCUUGCAGCCAGGGACAGCUUACCUUGGUAGGCUCCAUUGUUUUCAGUUGUAGAAGUGGGUGCGAAGCACCAAUCAUCCAGCAGGAUGCCCUCAGGGCAUGUGUUUGUGAAUUUGUUUACUGAAACAAACCAUGUGACUGUAAAACAAAAACAAUUAUCUGGAAAAACUCAGCAGGUCUGGCAGCAUCGGCAGAGAAGAAAAGAGUUGACGUUUCGAGUCCUCAUGACCCUUCGACAUGUGACUGUAAAGUUGUUUUGUCACUUUUGCAUCUUACAAGCUUAGAGUCUGAGCAUCAUUUCAACCCCAUAAUAGCUGUAUGGCUCAAAAACCCCAUGUCAGUCACUGUAGGAAACAUAGCAGCCAAAUUGUGCACAACAAGCUCCCAAAAACAGUAAUGUGAUCAUGGCCAGAUAAUCUGUUUUGGUAACGUUGAUUGUGGGAUCCAUAUGACCAGUAGAUUAGGUCUAACACCCCUGCUUUUCAACAACCAAUUCUCAUUGGAUCUCUUACAUUAACCUGAAAGGGUAAACAGGGCAAUGGUUUAACUCAUCUGAAAGAUGGUACCUCUGACAGUGCAACACUCCCUCAGUAUUGCAUUGGAGUGUCAGCCUCAGUGCUCAAGUCUUUGGAGUGGGACUUGAGCCCGCAACCUUCUGGCCCAGAGAUGAGAAUGCUAACUAAACCACAUCUGGUAAUUCCUUAGAAUAUUUCUAUUGUGUUAGAUUCCGUUUGUAAGGGUGUGUACAGAAUGCUUCUCCUGUGUAAACUGGCAGCCUGAAAGUUUGAUUUGAUUUAAAGUGGUAACUAGUUAGAGCUGCAGGUGUCAGUGUUGUCUUUGUGUCUGGGUUCCUGAAGCUGUGAAAGGUGGUAAAGUCCCUGGUGUCAGCUGGAAUGGACAUCUUAAGGGAUUGUCUUCAAUCAGUACUGCUGAUUAACCAUUCUGCUUUCAUUCACAUAUGAAGGUUCUAUUGUUUAGGCACAGUUCUAACUGUUUGUCAGGAAUAAAACUCGAGGAAUAACCCACUCUUCCCAGGAAAGCUCAGAGUUAGUUUUAGUGAGAUUUUGAGCUUGUUUUCAAAUCCCUCCCCUCCCUAGAUCUGUAAUCUCUUCCAACCCUCAGUACUACACUGGAGUGUCAGCCAUGAUUUUUUGUGCUCAAAUCCUGGAGUGAGACUUGAACCCACAACCCUCUGACUCAGAGAACAAGGUUGUGGGUUCAAGUCCAACUCCAGAUGGAUUAUUCCAUGAACAUGGAUUAAAGUUGUUGUCAGGGCCACACAAAUAAUUCCUCAGACUCUGGGCUCCCUGUACAAACUACACCCACCAUUUAUUGCAACACAAACAUGUUGUAAAAUGAGUGAAGAAAUUAUCCUGUAGAUGUUUACACACUGCAUUGAUCAUGAAGCCAAUCAGAUCACAAUAUACCAGCCUUAAAUAAAACUGCUUCAAUUGGUCACACGCAAUUUAAAAAAUGUUUGUUUUACUAAAACUCACAGUGAUUGUGCUGAGAGUUUAUGCUAGUUUAUUUCCGAUUUGUCAAUGUAAUCUGCCUGAAAUUGACCAGAUCAGGGAUUUUAAUUGUAAAUUAUGUGAAGCGUAAUUUGAACUUGGAUGAUCUUUAAUUCUGGUUUAUGAAACAUCACCCAGGAAGCUGGUACCAGCCACAGAAAUGACCACGGCCUCAGAUGGGAAUAAUGAGUGACAAGUUUCUGCCGAUUGCGCCUGUUUGAGGCGGCUCUUCAAAUUACACUCAGGGCUUUUAGGCGUUCAGGCAGCAACGGUCAGUCAUACUUCAUGGCUCCAGUCUACAUGCUGUGACUAGCAAAUAUUUCACAGAUAAUAGUUCAUUUCAGUUGUGUCACAGUAACAGAAGAAAUAGUUAAACAUCAUCCUCGUGCACUGCACGCUGAACAAUAUCACUCUCACACAAGGUCUAGUCUGGGACAGCCCAGGAAAAGAACUGGCAGAGAAGAAGGGACUGGAUCAUCCUGGUAGAGGUGAAAGGAUUGGGACAUCCCGGGAGAGGUCAAUGGACCGGGACAUCCCGGGAGAGGUCAAUGGACCUUACAUUCUGAAGAGGAACCGGAAGAGUUGAACGCUGCGCCUGAGAAAUUGGAGCGGAGGGGAGCUGAAACUCUCCAGGAGGCAACUCCUGGACAGGGCAGGGCUGUCAGAUAUAAACUCAUGGGACAUCUACUCACACAAAGAGCCCCACCUCCCUCCUGGAAUCAGAAUCGUUACCCGAGCACUAGGUUAAUUUCCUCUCUUCCUUCUGUUAGGGGGAGGAAAGUAAGUAAGAAUUUAUGGUAAGGGAGAAUUUAUUGAAAAGGAAUGAAUUACUUAAAAUCUCCAGGCAACCAGGUCUACCAAUCACAUUGGCAGUUAAAGGUUACCAG